rnacentral:rRNA from 1 species
UCUGGUGGCGAUGGCGGAGGGGUUCCACGCGUACCCAUCCCGAACACGACCGUUAAGCCCUCCAGCGCCGAUGGUACUUGGACCGCAGGGUCCUGGGAGAGUAGGACGUCGCCAGGC